rnacentral:lncRNA from 1 species
UUUGCAGAAUCUUUCGUCAGCAGUCUUGAAGGAGACUGAUCAAUACCAUAAAAAAGAUUUGUACUUCUUUCUUAUUUAGUAUUGUGAAGUCUUGUCCAAUAUUGUGUACUAAAGAUAUAACGGUUUGCCUAUCAGUCUAGGAUAUCUUGGAUUAUUCACCGAGUGCAUGUUUGGUUUCUGUUAACUAAUGCCGUUACCUGGA